CGCUGGCGGCGUGCCUAAUACAUGCAAGUCGAGCGGAGUUAUUUUGAAAGCUUGCUUUCAAAAUAACUUAGCGGCGGACGGGUGAGUAACACGUAGGCAACCUGCCCCUUAGACUGGGAUAACUACCGGAAACGGUAGCUAAUACCGGAUAAUUUCUUUUUUCUCCUGAAGAAAGAAUGAAAGACGGAGCAAUCUGUCACUGAGGGAUGGGCCUGGGGGGCAUUAGCUAGUUGGUGGGGUAACGGCCCACCAAGGCGACUGAUGCGUACCCGACCUGAGAGGGUGAACGGCCACACUGGGACUGAGACACGGCCCAAACUCCUACGGGAGGCA
rnacentral:rRNA from 1 species